GACAAUGGCAGGAAAAAAAUGCUGAAGAUUGAAACAAACCUUGGCUGGAAAUAUUUGAAGGUAUCUAGCCAGUCCACAAUGAAAGCUUCGUUGCACCCCAUGAGUCUUCUGGCAGAAAUGAUGGCGGCUGUAUUCUUUGGUUUCCCUAAACAUCACACCCUGCCUGUUUAAACGAGGCUCUUCAAUUAAGUCUGCACCCAAAGAUUCAAUAAGAGAGGGGAUCCUGCCAGUCCAAAGUGAACUCCUGAUGGACAUUGAAGUACUCCUGCAGAGCUUGUAUCUUCAACACCAUGCGCAUUAGAAACUCCGAGUCCUUUCCUUCACCAAGGCAGGACCCAGUGACUCAUUACUGUUGAUAGGUCAGGGGCAGGUAAUAUUUUGUUUCAUGUUUAUUCAUUCCUCCAUGGAUUACCAGCCAUAUAUAUGGACACAUGCUGUAUUCUCAAGAUCUAUGCUGUUUUGUAGGAAUAGAGAAAAUAAUAUGUUUAGUCUGUUUUCAAAUGGUAUGUCAAAUUUUCUCAUUGUUUAUCAGUAAUAUUCUCUACCUUGGUUGUAUAUGAGCAUCUUUAGAUUUUUCUAUAUUUAGCGGUUGCAAAUGUUAAAUGUAC
ensembl:lncRNA